rnacentral:siRNA from 1 species
AAGCGGAUGAAGUUUGACAACUGC